ensembl:lncRNA
AUUAUGUGUAUCCAUUGUUUUGCUUUGAAAGGCUACUGUUUAAGCACUUUAAGCACUUUAUUUGUUGCACUUUUUUGUUUGAUAAUGAAAAAUAUUUUUCCCUAACUAAACUUGUGUCAUUUUUUGCUGAACAUAAAUCAUUAAGUGCUCUUAAGAAUACAAUUAUUAACAAUAUAGGUUAGGUUUCAGUUAAGAAUUAGUUGAAUACCAUUGUAAUCAAAAUGUCAAUCAACCUAAAUUGGUCUAAUCUUAAACACAGGUCUAUUAAUUAGGCUAUAUUGUGGUACAUAGACAGUCAUUGAGGCACAGCAAUAGUUUUCUGGUUGAAUGUUCAGCUCAAGUCUAGAAGGCCCAACAAGUCAUGAGCAGAUGAACAUAAAUCAGAAUAAGUUCAGGCAUACCACCCAAAAAUCCACGAGAAUGCAUGAAAUAACAUCUACUUAAACCAGAAUGUCCUGGGGGUGGACCAUCAGCUGUGUCUGCUUCACAGAAUGUAACCAAUGUUGUCCAUCUCCAGUAGGCCGCCCCUAUCAACGACUUUGGGCCCCACAAACCACCAGAAUGCAGGGUACAACAUGGGUACUACGCCAAAUGAAUUCCAAUUUCCUGAUAUAUGAGCCACCAACGUGUGUGGCUGCGUGCGCGGCAAAAUUUUGGUCACCCCGACAAAUUCUCACUCCAAGGUUUUUUCGAAAGGUUGGCAGCUCUGAUAUAUACACACACACACACACACACACACACACACACACACACACACAGCCAUGAAAACGGGUCAAGGGUGAAAAAGGUGAGAAGGAUAUUACCCCUCUAGGGCAGGGGAAUAAAGGGCGCGUUGGAGAAACAAAGCUGUCCUUCUCGCCGAGCACUUCAUGGGAUUAAAGAGCGAGAGACGGCGUCCUUUUCUCUACAGUAGCUGAACCAUCUUAACGGGGAAAUAAGUUAUUCUAAAAGCAGCCGAAGAUUUAAGGCGUGGAUGGCGAGGGGGGGAGCGGACGAACCUCGCAGCAUCGAUCGGACCCUUAAAGCACCGUCUUCACCUUACUGUCAAAAAGAACAGCGAGCGUGUAGAAAAUUCCUACGAGCAGAGAUUCUCCUAGCGAGCAAAUACCUCGCGCGGAGAUGGACUUUUGCUCGCGCGGAGACGGACUUUUGCUCGCGGAUGUUUGAUUUGUUAAAUUCUUAAGGUCAUUUAAUCAUUAUGUUUUGAUCAGAUUUGUGAUUAAAGGUUUGGGUGGGCCGCGAAAGAUUUUCAGAUUUCAAAGUGGGCCGCGGCAUUCUUGAGUUUGGGAACCGCUGGCUAGCCAAGCCGGUAAGCUAGCAGCAGGCUAGCGCAGCACCAAAGCUGUACACACACACGCACGGCUAAGCGCUCUGCCCGGAAGGCUAACAAGCAAUAUACAUAACUAACGUCAGUUCAUGAAAGUCAACAGGUACAAGUGCGGUGCUUUUCCCCGGUGGGAGGGGUGGUCCCACCGGGGAAAACUUGGCCGCUCUUGGCCGAAACUGUUCGGCCAAGUGCGGGGGGAGCAGUCGGGAUACGUGUUGGAUGACCGUGGGCGGACUCUCGGACCCGCCGCUUCACCUGAAUUGCCCACUUCAAGCACUGCAUUGCUAACCAAGUCGUUCAUGAAAGUCAAGUUUGUCAGACGUUAUAAUAUAACAGAAAGCGCACACAUUCCCUGCAUUUAAGGUUAUAAUUGUAGGGGAAACAUUGCAGGUGGGAAUAAAGCUAACGAUAGCUAACGGCGCAACAGUUAAUAGCUCACGUUACUUACCUGUGACGAACGUCAAGGAGGAGGAGGUGCUUGCAGCGGGUAGUUUUAAAGAAUUCAAAAAACCAGCCAGUCACAAUUCUCGUAUCAGAAGCUCUAGUCUGGAUGCUGUUAUCAGGAGGAAACGAAUCAAUCGAAGAACCUUUUAUUAAGUUGUCCUUGCGUUCCCGCGAGAAUAGACUCGGGAGACAGUGGCCGUUUCUCAAUAUGCGUUCUUGUGUGGACUUUUGUUCUCGUGGACUCGUGAAACGUCAUCAGUCACAGCCCGAGUACUGUUCCAAUUCUCAAGUCCGCAUCUGGCCGAGAACGGUCAUAAUACCCAGAUGUGACUCGCCCCGCCCAUUUUACCGGGCAUGCAUCGAAGCAGGCUCGUCUGUUCUUGUGAGAGACACAUAUCCCAGAAUGCUUUUCACCUCAGCAAGCUGCGAUGGCAGAUGAGAUACUUGCGUGCGUAAACAAAGACCGCCUACUGUGGUGACGUCAUCAAGUCAGCUGCUGUUCAAUUGCGGAAAUGUCCGUUCUCCCGUACCCGUGAGUCAGGACUCCCGAGUCUGUCUCCCGAGUCUAUUCUCGCGGGAACGCGAGUCCGUUCUCGCCGUCUUAGGUAUUGAGAAACGGCCGAGAUUCCAACGGAUACGGGAGCACGGUCAUUUCCGCAUCCGGAACAGCAGCUGACGUAAUGACUUGCUCCUGCUAAUGUAUUUUAAUACAUUUGAGUGUUAAGUAUUUAUCAAUCAAGCUUUUGUUUCGUUUUCAUUUAAAACUAGAAAAUGCAUUUCCUGCUGAAAAUGCAUUGGAAUGCAAAAAGCUGAACUGAUUUUUUUUAAAUAGCUGAAAAUACAGAAAGUUGAAGGGAAUUUGAAUACAUUUGCUGAAAUGACAG